AGGGGCGGGAUGGCAGGGCCGGUACUCCUGAGAGUGUCGGUGCAGCGAUGGGAACGGGUGGCCGGGUACCCGUGUACGCCGCCGGGAUCCUGCUCUCCAUCUGCGCCUACCACGUGGAGCGGGAGAAGGAACGGGAGGGACCCCGAGCACCAGACCUUCUGCGACCUGGGGCCCUGGGUGAAGUGCUUCGCCGCCCUUGCCUCCAGAGAUGAAGUUUGACCAUGAGGCUUGUCUGGAACUCCUGACCUCAGCUGAUCCAGCUGACCUCAAGUGAUCCACUUUUCUCAGCCUCCCAAAGUGCUGGGAUUGCAGGCGUCAGCUACCAUGCCUGGGAGAAACCUUGGGACAUGGAUGAAUCUGGAGAACAUCAUCCUCAGCAAACUGACACGAGAACAGAAAAUGAAACACCGCAUAUUCUCACUCAUAGGUGGGUGAUGAAAAAUGAGAACACAUGGACACAGAAAGGGGAGUACUAAACACUGGGGUCU